AUGAACCAGCAGUGUCCCCUUGGGGCUGUGAGACUUAAAAUUGUGUUUUUUUUCCCAACCUUGCUUGGCCAAACAGAUAAACAGAUAGCGAGAGGCUCAGCAGUCAAGAUUGGGGAAAUGGAUGGGACAGACACGAUAAACAGGAGGGGCUCAUCUGGGAGCUGUCGCCUUUCAGAUCUCUCUGGCUUCCAUGGACAGGAUAGGUGCACCCUGCUGAAUUUAGCAGUCCUGUCGGGGGCAGCCGGAUACUCCCCCAGAAUUGCUGACUAGAGACUGAGACUGUUUAAAGAGACGGAUUCUGUGAAAGAUUGAAAAAGGUAAUUGAUACAUAGACCUAGUAACUUUGUGCGCAGACUAAGGUAAGAGAACUUAAUUUUUGCCUUGGGGGUCAGGUGAGACUCUUGAGCGUGUGCGACUGAGACACAGUUUUAGUGAGAAGUGAGCGUGGAGUCCCAGUCUGUGGUUCCA
rnacentral:lncRNA from 1 species